UAUUAGUUUAUGUUUGAAAUACCGUCCAACCAUCGCACAAUCCCUCCCCCCCCCCCCCCCCUCAAUUUUUUUUUGCAUUUUUUUCGCUUUUUUUCGCAUUUUUGAAAAAUAAUGUAAUAAAUGUCCACACCCCCACACUAUACACCCCUCUUCACUCCACCCCUCCCUUCUUUGUGAUUGAAAAUGAGAGUCCCUUCACCUUUAAAAAGAAAAAUAGAUGAGCGGUCUGCACCUGCAAGGCGGUGCUCUUGUUUAUAUUCUGUCUUGAGUUUGCGGUUUUUAUGGCCCCCACUAUAGUAGUGGGGGACAUAUUGUUUUUGCCCUGUCUGUUGGUUGGUCUGUUGGUUGGUUGAUUUGCGCCAACUUUAACAUUUUGCAAUAACUUUUGCUAUUGAAUAUAGCAACUUGAUAUUUGGCAUGCAUGUGUAUCUCAUGGAGCUGCACAUUUUGAGUGGUGAAAGGUCAAGGUCAUCCUUCAAGGUCAGAGGUCAAAUAUAUGUGGCCAAAAUCGCUCAUUUUAUGGUAACUUUUGCAAUAUUGAAGAUAGCAACUUGAUAUUUGGUAUGCAUGUAUAUCUCAUGGAGCUGCACAUUUUGAGUGGUGAAAGGUCAAGGUCAAGGUCAUCCUUCAAGGUCAGAGGUAAAAUAUAUGUGGCCCAAAUCGCUUAUUUUAUGAAUACUUUUGCAAUAUUGAAGAUAGCUACUUUAUAUUUGGCAUGCAUGUGUAACUUAUGGAGCUGCACAUUUUGAGUAGUGAAAGGUCAAGGUCAUUCUUCAAGGUCAGAGGUCAAAUAUAUGUGGCCCAAAUCGCUUAUUUUAUGAUUUACUUUUGCAAUAUUGAAGAUAGCAACUUGAUAUUUGGCAUGCAUGUGUAUCUCAUGGAGCUGCACAUUUUGAGUGGUGAAAGGUCCGGUCAUCCUUCUAGGUCAAAUAUAUCGGUCAAAAUUGCUCAUGUAAUGUAAUUUCUGCAAUAUUGAAGCUAGCAUUUUUUUAUUUUUCAAAAAACAUGACUGGUGUAUUGUCUUGAAGAAUACCGCUGUCAUUAUUGAUUCUUUUGUAAAACUAUGUGUUUUUAAUGAUUGUAGACAAGUUUGAAAGUGCUUUAAGAAUUCUUUAAGCUGAUCUAAUUUUUCUGGUGCUUUUAUUUCUUGGUUCAAGUGCCAGUAUAUAAGAAUGAUGGAAAGUUUACAAUGUUAACAAAAGUGUGACGUUGUAAAUUCUGUUUUGUUUAUACUGUUUUACUUGAAUGCUAUAGUGUGGUUUUAUUUGUGCUUGGGAGACAUUAUGACUUUGGUUUAACCAAAUGGCUUGUUAUAAUUGUUGUUACAUUUCGUAAUAUUUUUUUCUGUUAAAAUAUAUCAAAUGUGAUUUUACCAUAUCUGACAAGAUUGUUACCUUUCCAUGUAUGUCUUUAUAUGUGCUAUAAUGGUUUAAAUGGUGAGUUCUGUGUAGCUGCUCGAAUGUUUACUAUUUUAGCAGCCCUGUGGGAAAACCGGUCUUAAUGCAUGUGGGUAAAGUGUUGUUUGAGAUUAGCAUGUUUGUCUGUUGGGGCUUAUCAGGGAUAGCACUUUCCUCCGUGACACAAAUUUUGUAUAAAUGAGACUUCCUUUAAAUAAAAAAAUCAAUGGCAGCUUAAGGCUCCUCCCUGAGUAGCCUGUGUGGACUGCACAGGGUAAUCUGGGUGAACACUUUGAGCACAUGCAUUAAGCUUGUUUCUCCCUUAGUAUGGCUUAUUAGCUCGGCUGUUUUCGGAGAAAACCCGAGGUAUUGUCAUAGCCAGCUCGUCGUGUCCGCCGUCCGUGUCAAGGUUUGUAAAGGUUUUUAACAUUGGCUCUAAAAUCAAAGUCCUUCCACCUACAACUUUGAAACUUCAUAUGUAGAUGCACCUUGAUGAGUUCUACAUGUCACACCCAUUUUUGGUUUACUAGGUCAAAGGUCAAGGUCACUGUGACCAAAAAAAAAAUAAAAAAAAUUCUGACAAGCUUUCGCAGCCGAGCUUGGCACCCGUUAUGCGGUGCUCUUGUUUUAUUGCUGUUACAGGGUUAUAUCCCCAAAUGUAAUGGUAAAACAUUUAUUUUAAUUCUGCUUUUGUAAUAUUUAGAAUGUCUGUUUAUGCUUAAGUAUGGUUUAAACCUUGUCUACAUGUUUUAGCUUGUAAAGCAAGGUAUGUUUUAAAUAAUUGACCACAUUUAAAUCUAAUAUAAGUGGACUAAGUUGAAUCAAUUGGCAACACAAAUUAUUCUUGAGAUAUACAUGUAUAUAUAUAUUAUAAGAAAUAAAACAUCACUUAUUUAAUGGCAAAUAUUAGCAUUCCCACAGUUUAGUCGCCAAGCCUCGCCAUUAUAUUAUUCUAAGCCUUGCCUGAUAUAUUAUAAAAAGAUCAGACAAUAACCUGUUAUUCUAUAUAUAGCAGACCGUGUGGCUAUCGACCAAACUGUGCGAAUGCUUCAUAAAGAAAUAAUAACAAACCAGCGGAUGUAAUUUGGGGUUAGUCUUCUAUUAAGAGCUCUGGAGUUUCAUUAUUCUUUUGUGUGAUAAAUGUGGCCAACUCUAUUUUGAAAAUGAAAACUUUGAGAUCUUGGCAAUAUUUGCAAGUUGUUCUUGUUUGUUACAUUCGCCAAGGUUUAUACUGAUUUAUUUCAAACCCUGUUGAAAGUUUUGCUGUUAAAGGAACAGUGAACUAUUUUCAAUUUUUCUAAUGUCUUUUUCAGUCAUAGUAACUUUGUUUGAUGUUUUGGGUAAGAUUUUUCAAUAUUAUGUUUAACCAAAAAAAUCAGGUCCGCUAUCAUUUGUUUAGCCUUAAAUAAGCUCUAUCUAUAGCAAUAAUUUGGAGCAACUCGCUAUAAAUGUCGUCAUAAUCUGUAUUCAGCUCUAUAUUACUUGAUAUGCAUUCUUGAACUGAUGUUUAAAGCUUUUUAGCUCAUCUGAGCAUAAAGUGCUCGUGGUGAGCUAUUGUGAGCGCCCUGUGUCUGGUGGCAUGAAUUGUAUGUGUUCAACUUUUAGCUUGUUUUUGCUCUAGAGGCUACAUUUCAAUUGUGUACAACAACAAGGUCACCAGGUUAAAUCGCAGAAAAACCUUGUAAUCACUGUAGAAGCCACAUUUAUGACUCAAUCUUGAUGAAAUUUGGUCAGAAUUUUGGGAUCUUGAUAAUAACCCGGUCGAGUUUGAAUUUGGGUCACGUAUUUCCAAAAACAAGGACACCAAGCCCAAUCUUGGAAAAAAGAUGUUAUUACUAUAGAGGCUACAUGUUUGACCGAAUCUUGAUGAAAAGUUAAAGUGUUUAUCUUGGAAAUAUCAAGAUAGAGUUAAAACUGGAUACUGUGCAUACAAAACUACAUCUCAAGGUCAUAUCUUAGCAACACCUUGCUACCAACCUAGAUGGCACAUUUAUGACCCAAUCCUGAUGAAACUUGGUCAGUAUGUUUAUCUUUAAACUACAUGUAUCUGGGUUACCAGGUUUAAUCUAAGAAAAUCUUUUUCAUCUCUAUAGAGGCCCCAUUUAUAAUUAUCUUGAUGAAAUUUGAUUGGCAUGUUUAACGGGAUAAUACUUGGGUUAAAUUGGAUCUUGGUCACAUGUCUGAAAAUUGUGUAUCCAGGUCAACUUUUGACAAAUGGUUUUUCUCGAAUUGAGGUAAGCGAGUCAGUGCUAUUUUCGUCCCUCUUGUUAUGAUUACGUUUGCUUAUGUAUAUGAUUAUUAUUUAUAUAUUAUGGGAACUUUUCGUGCAUUUCAUAAUCUGCGAAAAAAGAAAAUCAUUGGAAAACCCA